rnacentral:rRNA from 1 species
AGGGUUUGAUCAUGGCUCAGAACGUACGCUGGCGGCACGCCUAACACAUGCAAGUCGAACGCAGUAGCAAUACUGAGUGGCAGACGGGUGAGUAACAUGUGGGAAUCUGCCUUGUGGUUCAGGACAACAUUGGGAAACCGAUGCUAAUACUGGAUAAGCCCUUACGGGGAAAGUUUUAAUGCCAUAAGAUGAGCCCGCAUUUGAUUAGUUAGUUGGUGAGGUAAUGGCUCACCAAGACAAUGAUCAAUAGCUGAUCUGAGAGGAUGAUCAGCCACACUGGGACUGAGACACGGCCCAGACUCCUACGGGAGGCAGCAGUGGGGAAUCUUGCACAAUGGAGGAAACUCUGAUGCAGCGAUGCCGCGUGAGUGAAGAAGGCCUUUGGGUUGUAAAGCUCUUUUGUAGGGGAAGAUAAUGACUGUACCCUAAGAAUAAGGUCCGGCUAACUUCGUGCCAGCAGCCGCGGUAAUACGAAGGGACCUAGCGUAGUUCGGAAUUACUGGGCGUAAAGCGCGCGUAGGCCGUUGAGUUAGUUAAUUGUGAAAUCCCAAAGCUUAACUUUGGAACUGCAAUUAAAACUGCUCGACUAGAGUUUGAUAGAGGAAAGCGGAAUACAUAGUGUAGAGGUGAAAUUCGUAGAUAUUAUGUAGAACACCAGUUGCGAAGGCGGCUUUCUGGGUCAACACUGACGCUGAGGCGCGAAAGUAUGGGUAGCAAAGAGGAUUAGAUACCCUCGUAGUCCAUACCAUAAACGAUGAUUGCUAGAUGUUGGGAAUCUACAUUCUCAGUAACGUAGCUAACGCGUGAAGUCAGCCGCCUGGGGAGUACGGUCGCAAGAUUAAAACUCAAAGGAAUUGACGGGGACCCGCACAAGCGGUGGAUGAUGUGGAUUAAUUCGAUGCAACGCGAAAAACCUUACCUACCCUUGACAUGUCACUAACGAAGUAGAGAUACAUUAGGUGCCCGUAAGGGAAAGUGAACACAGGUGCUGCAUGGCUGUCGUCAGCUCGUGUCGUGAGAUGUUGGGUUAAGUCCCGCAACGAGCGCAACCCUUGUCUUUAGUUGCUACGCAAGAGCACUCUAAAGAGACUGCCGGUGACAAACCGGAGGAAGGUGGGGAUGACGUCAAGUCCUCAUGGCCCUUAUGGGUAGGGCUUCACACGUCAUACAAUGGUGCGUACAGAGGGUUGCCAACCCGCGAGGGGGAGCUAAUCUCUUAAAACGCAUCGUAGUCCGGAUCGUAGUCUGCAACUCGACUACGUGAAGCUGGAAUCGCUAGUAAUCGCGGAUCAGCAUGUCGCGGUGAAUACGUUCCCGGGUCUUGUACACACCGCCCGUCACACCAUGGGAGUGGGUUUUGCCAGAAGCAGUUAGCCUAACCGUAAGGGGGGCGAUUGCCACGGCAGGGUUCAUGACUGGGGUGAAGUCAUAACAAGGUAACCGUA